AUAGCCUUGUCAUCCUGAAUCAUUUUGUUUGAAUUUCGUUCAUCUUUAGACAAUUUUUAUCAGAUGGUUCAUAUUUCUGAAUAUAAAACAAGAAACUUUGGUUACACUUAUCAGUUCAAACUAGUCAUCGCUGUAAACAAACGCAAAAUGAAAUUUUCUGCGUUAAUACUUGUUGUUAUUUUCGUUGAGUUUGUUUACACUGUGGAAAUAGAUUGUGGGGACAAAGAAUUUAUUUGUUAUGAUGAAAAUCGAUUUUAUCAGUGUGUCCAUGUAGGAAAAAAUAGAAGAGUUGUUUUGGGACAAUUGCAGAACUGUCCUCAAGGGUUAGUGUGUAAAAAUGAAGCAGAAUUAGAAUGUGAGGAGCCAGAGUUGGAUGCAGAUCCUCAAUCUUAAUGGACAAAAGUACGUCAAUGUUUUUUAUCGCUAUAAUAAUAAUAGGAUAAAGGACACGUGUACCAUUUGAGAAGUCGGGACGAUAUUUAGGACAAAUAAAAGAAGUUUAAAUUGAA